UUUGGAUGUCGGAGUUUCAGCAUCGUGCUCUACUACAGCAACUUCGGUGAUUAAAACAUGGCCAUUCUACAUUCUGUCCUUCAAUAUACUCUGCAAGGCAAAUGGGAUCCACUACCCGCUCGAAUCAUGCUCAGAGAGCCCUCUGAGUUGCUUGCCAAGACACGGUGCCUUCGUGACGCUGCUCUUCAGACAUUGUGUACGCCCAACGGACGCCACAAUGACUCAAGAAAUUUGCUGGGCGGUUUUGGAGUCGGAGUUUCAGCAUCGUGCUCUACUACAGCAAUUUCGGUGAUUAAAACAUGGCCAUUCUACAUUCUGUCCUUCAAUAUACUCUGCAAGGCAAAUGGGAUCCACUACCCGCUCGAAUCAUGCUCAGAGAGCCCUCUGAGUUGCUUGCCAAGACACGGUGCCUUCGUGACGCUGCUCUUCAGACAUUGUGUACGCCCAACGGACGCCGCAAUGACUCAAGAAAUUUCCUGGGUGGUUUUGGAUGUCGGAGUUUCAGCAUUCGGCUCUACUACAGCAAUUUUCGGUGAUUAAAACAUGGCCAUUCUACAUUCUGUCCUUCAAUAUACUCUGCAAGGCAAAUGGGAUCCACUACCCGCUCGAAUCAUGCUCAGAGAGCCCUCUGAGUUGCUUGCCAAGACACGGUGCCUUCGUGACGCU
rnacentral:lncRNA from 1 species